rnacentral:tRNA from 1 species
UCCCAAGUGGUGCAGUGGUAAAGAAUCCACCUGUCAAUGCAGGACUCAGGUUCAAUUCCUGGCUUGGGAA